rnacentral:lncRNA from 1 species
CAAAACAAAACGUCGCUCGAUUCACUGCACGGCUCAAACCUAUCUCACCAAAAAAAAAACUAGUCGAUUUCGUCCGGCCAUCUCGUCGAUUUCGUCCGGCUCACCAAUUUGGCCAGAGCAGAUCUCCUAAAUUCGAAACCAUCUCGAAGAAUUUGUUUCCAAUUCGGUCAGAGCAACAAACCUCCAUCGAAAAUUUCGUUUCACCGAUCUGCUAAGGUAAAACCCCCCACUUCAUCCGUGCCCGUAAGAGUUCGAGGUAUUAAUUGUUGAUUGUUGCUAUGGAUUGUAGUUUGAUGGGUAUUGCAUAAAGUUGUGAUUUUUUUUGUGGGAAGCUGUUUGUAUUUCCCUUUUGGGCUUAUAGAGGAUAAAUUGGGUGUCUUACGGUUCUUUUAGUAUAUACUCUUAAUAAUGUUGUAUGGUCAUUUUGAUGCUUGAAUUGUCUACUGUUAAAAUUUGAAGUGGGUUUAUGCAUUUUCUUGCUGUUAGUGUUGAAUUAUGCUUAAAAUUUUAGAUUUUUUGUUUUGGUUUUCAAUAAUUGCUUUUAGGUGUUUGACACAGUUCAAUUCAUGAAAGUUUGGUUGAGUUUUAGGGAUUUUCCUUUAUUUUGAGUUGACAAUAGUUUGAAUUCAAAAAAUUUCCUUUGUUUUGAGUUGACAAUAGUUUCAGUUUUAGGGAUUUUCGUUUGUAAAAUUUAUAAUUUGUUUAGUAUUCCAUACUUAUCUUAAUAUAAUGUAUUCUAGAAAGUAACAAUUAAUGAAUUAUCACAUCUUUUACUGCAUGACUACAACACAGAAAUGAUGUAAUGUAUUAAAUUACUGGUAAUAAAAAGAGAUGGAUAUACCUUUUCAUUUGUUAUGGUUCAUUAAUACUAUGUAAAGAAUGUGUCUAAUUUUACUUAGGAAAUCAUUUUAAAUUGCCAUAUUAAAUUUAUACUAUGAAGACUCCGGUAAAAGUUGAGAUGAAUGUCUCAUGUUUAACCGGGUCAACAAAACAGUGGUAUUAUGUAGGAAAUCCAGCUCAUAAAUCAUAAGGAUAUGGAUGGAAACCCCCAUAAUUCAUACUAGCUUAGAAGGUGUUCCUUCACCAGUAUGAAACAUAUAUGAUCUUUUUCUUUGUUAUGGCUCUUAAUGUGUAAAUCAUGCUCCUUUUGAGCUGUAGUUCUGUGACUUCUAAAUUUGAAUUACUUGUGCUAGAGACACAUGGGUGUGGAUACGAAUCUUCUAUAUCAUUAGACAUGCACCUGAAAAGCAUUAAGGCCAAUUGAACACUCUAUGCUACGUAAAAAAGUAAAACCCCUUUUACAUGAGAAGAUAAAUGAAGAAUAUUGAGCAACAUGGAUACUUAGUUAUGCCCCCCGUGUGCUUCGAGUUUGUAAAUAAAAAUAUUUGGCACGCAAAACAAUAUUAAAACAAAUAUACUUAAUUACUUUAAAUAAACAAAAAAAACUAAUAUACCUCCUUGGAUGUUUGGUUCUCAUAUCUUCUUCUUGACUGAAACUUUUAAUUCCUUGUACUAUCCUGUCCAACUGAGGUCCAUAAGCUAAAUAUUUCAGAUAAAUGUAGUUUCAUUUCAUUCUUUGACUAAUUUCUCUUUUUUUUUGCCUCAGUGCUUAUUAGGACAACAUUUGAUUGGAUGUCGCCUUGGAGCAUCUUAUAUUUUUGAAAAAUUCUAGUCCAAUAGUUGGGAAUGAAAGCUAGUGGCUAACUGAUUUUUC